rnacentral:rRNA from 1 species
CCUACGGGUGGCAGCAGUGGGGAAUAUUGCACAAUGGGGGAAACCCUGAUGCAGCGACGCCGCGUGAGUGAAGAAGUAUUUCGGUACGUAAAGCUCUAUCAGCAGGGAAGAAAAUGACGGUACCUGACUAAGAAGCCCCGGCUAACUACGUGCCAGCAGCCGCGGUAAUACGUAGGGGGCAAGCGUUAUCCGGAUUUACUGGGUGUAAAGGGAGCGUAGACGGCAGCGCAAGUCUGGAGUGAAAUCCCAUGGCUUAACCAUGGAACUGCUUUGGAAACUGUGCAGCUAGAGGGCAGGAGGGGGAAGGGGGAGACCGAGGGUAGGGGUGAGGUGCGGAGAGCGUAGGAGG